AAUGGGCACGGAGUUGUUGAACACCAGAGCCCACAGCAGCCACACUGACUUGCCAAUAGUGAAGGUGGGACCACCCGGCCCUGGUGAGGACAGGGCUGAAGUACUCGAACACAAAGACGGUGACAGCCACCACGGUCAGACACAUCACAAACAUCAUCACCCACACGGCUGGGCUGUAGGGCUCUGCAAGGCAAGAGGGUCUCCAUCAGCAGUCUGGGCUGAUCCCACCCGUGCUCACCCAGGAAGGCGGAGGGGGAGACGGUGCCAUUGCUCCUGGCCACCAUCACACUGAUUCCAGUCUCCACGAAGGGCACGGAGAAGUCCACAAUCUCGGAGCGCUCCUCGUUGAUAGUGAGGGACCCGAUGGCCAUGUCUGCGCGCUUGUAGUAGACCUGGGGAGGGCGAGUGGCCUCAGGACGGGCAGAGGAAGAGGAGGAGAGCCAAAGACAGUGCUGCUGGUAGAGGUCGUAGGAGAACUUCACCGUCUUGGCCAACUUCUUCAGGAUGUCGAUGCAGAAUCCUUUGCAGCACAGCUUGGUGUAGG